rnacentral:rRNA from 1 species
UACGGAGGGAGCUAGCGUUAUUCGGAAUUACUGGGCGUAAAGCGCACGUAGGCGGCUUUGUAAGUUAGAGGUGAAAGCCUGGAGCUCAACUCCAGAACUGCCUUUAAGACUGCAUCGCUUGAAUCCAGGAGAGGUGAGUGGAAUUCCGAGUGUAGAGGUGAAAUUCGUAGAUAUUCGGAAGAACACCAGUGGCGAAGGCGGCUCACUGGCCCGGAACUGACGCUGAGGUGCGAAAGCGUGGGGAGCAAACAGG